rnacentral:rRNA from 1 species
CCUACGGGAGGCAGCAGUGAGGAAUAUUGGUCAAUGGACGAGAGUCUGAACCAGCCAAGUAGCGUGAAGGAUGACUGCCCUAUGGGUUGUAAACUUCUUUUAUAUGGGAAUAAAACAGGGUAUGCAUACCCUCUUGUAUGUACCAUAUGAAUAAGGAUCGGCUAACUCCGUGCCAGCAGCCGCGGUAAUACGGAGGAUCCGAGCGUUAUCCGGAUUUAUUGGGUUUAAAGGGAGCGUAGGUGGAUUGUUAAGUCAGUUGUGAAAGUUUGCGGCUCAACCGUAAAAUUGCAGUUGAAACUGGCAGUCUUGAGUACAGUAGAGGUGGGCGGAAUUCGUGGUGUAGCGGUGAAAUGCUUAGAUAUCACGAAGAACUCCGAUUGCGAAGGCGGCCGCCUGGCCUGUUGCUGACGCUGAGGCACGAAAGCGUGGGGAGCAAAUAGGAUUAGAUACCCUUGUAGUC